UGGAGUAUGUGGUUUAAUUCGACGCAACGCGCAGAACCUUACCUAGGCUUGACACCCGGGAAUUUGCUGGAAACAGUGAAGUGCUUUCAUUAGAAAGAGCCCGGUGACAGGUGCUGCAUGGCUGUCGUCAGCUCGUGUCGUGAGAUGUUGGGUUAAGUCCCGCAACGAGCGCAACCCUCGCCUUUAGUUGCCAGCAUUCAGUUGGGCACUCUAAAGGGACUGCCGGUGUCAAACCGGAGGAAGGUGGGAUGACGUCAAGUCCUCAUGGCCUUUAUGUCUAGGGCUACACACGUACUACAAUGGCAGGUACAAAGGGCAGCGACACAGCGAUGUGAUGCGAAUCCCGAAAAGCCUGUCUCAGUCCGGAUCGGAGUCUGCAACUCGACUCCGUGAAGUUGGAAUCGCUAGUAAUCGUGGAUCAGCAUGCCACGGUGAAUACGUUCCCGGGCCUU
rnacentral:rRNA from 1 species